rnacentral:rRNA from 1 species
UACGAAGGGGGCUAGCGUUGCUCGGGAUCACUGGGCGUAAAGCGCACGUAGGCGGACUCUUAAGUCGGUGGUGAAAUCCUGGAGCUCAACUCCAGAACUGCCAUUGAUACUAUCUUUCUUGAAUACCUUGGAGGUGAGCGGAAUAUGUCAUGUAGCGGUGAAAUGCUUAGAUAUGACAUAGAACACCAAUUGCGAAGGCAGCUCACUACACGGUCAUUGACACUGAGGCACGAAAGCGUGGGGAUCAAACAGG